rnacentral:rRNA from 1 species
ACGCUCGACACCUACGGGAGGCAGCAGUGGGGGAUAUUGCACAAUGGGGGGAACCCUGAUGCAGCAACGCCGCGUGAGGGAAGAAGGUUUUCGGAUUGUAAACCUCUGUCUUUGGUGACGAUAAUGACGGUAGCCAAGGAGGAAGCUCCGGCUAACUACGUGCUAGCAGCCGCGGUAAUCUGAGCGGGCUGGCAAGGC